UCCCUCUUAGCUCGGUUGGUAGAGCGCGUCACUAGUACGUUUUCAUGCAAUGACGAGGUCAGUCGUUCAAAUCGGCUAGCGGGAA